rnacentral:rRNA from 1 species
UCCGGAGGGUGCAAGCGUUAUCCGGAUUCACUGGGUUUAAAGGGUGCGUAGGUGGGCUGGUAAGUCAGUGGUGAAAUCUCCAGGCUUAACUUGGAAACUGCCAUUGAUACUAUCAGUCUUGAAUACCGUGGAGGUCAGCGGAAUAUGUCAUGUAGCGGUGAAAUGCUUAGAUAUGACAUAGAACACCAAUUGCGAAGGCAGCUGGCUACACGAAUAUUGACACUGAUGCACGAAAGCGUGGGGAUCAAACAGG